GCCAGUGUAGGAUAAUCCGGUAUUCCGCUCGCCUCGAAAGCGAGUUUCCUUCGGGAGCUCCAGGUUCAAAUCCUGGCGCUGGCG
rnacentral:tRNA from 1 species